rnacentral:rRNA from 1 species
GACGAACGCUGGCGGCGUGCUUAACACAUGCAAGUCGAACGGAAAGGCCCUGUUUUUGUGGGGUGCUCGAGUGGCGAACGGGUGAGUAACACGUGAGUAACCUGCCCUUGACUUUGGGAUAACUUCAGGAAACUGGGGCUAAUACCGGAUAGGAGCUCCUGCUGCAUGGUGGGGGUUGGAAAGUUUCGGCGGUUGGGGAUGGACUGGCGGCUUAUUAGUUUGUUGGUGGGGGAGUGGCUUACCAAGGCUUUGACGGGUAGCCGGCCUGGGGGGGUGACCGGCCACAUGGGAACGGGGAUACGGCCCGGACUCCUACGGGGGGCAGCGGUGGGGAUUAUUGCACAAUGGGCGGAGGCCUGUGGCAGCAACGCCGCGUGCGGGAUGACGGCCUUCGGGUGGUAAACCGUUUUCGCCUGUGACGAAGCGGUAGUGACGGUAAUGGGUAAAGAAGCACCGGCUAACUACGUG